rnacentral:tRNA from 1 species
GCGAGGGUGGUGGAAUGGCAGACACGCCGGAUUUAGGAUCCGGUGCUUCGGCGUGGGGGUUCAACUCCCCCCCCUCGCA